GUGUUGGUAGUACCUCUUGGUUUAGCAGGAUCGAACUUUAAAGUUCAAGAUAUUGAAGAGUCGCCUAGGAGGGGAUUCCGGAAGGCACUAAUUAUGUUAGUUUUAUGCUUCAAUUCUGUAUAUCAUAUUCAUUUAUGCUUUUAUUUUGGCUUGUAAUAUUUUGUAAAUUCUAUAUGAAAGAUAUUUGGGGGAUCGUCUGGGG
rnacentral:lncRNA from 1 species